UAUCAUUUUAUUAAACUAUUAUUGAUGCAAAAUAAUACUUUAAUACAAACACUUCAUUUCUUCCAUUUACUUUCCAUCAUCACUGAGCUUUAGCCAGAACCUCUCUGGCAACUGGGGAUCUCACAAAAAGUAAGGUGUGACCAGAGGAUCCUUUUUACAGAAAAGAAGGCACAAGAAUAGGCCCACAUCAGAAGGUUUUAUCAUGUUCUCCACUACCCAGAAGUGGAUGGUCAGAGAGUUGAUGAUAGGCUGGACAAAGGUACAGUUUGCAGUGCCUGCUCAGAGCUGAUAUGCCCCAAGAAUGGAUGCUCUUCUCCUAAGACCUAGUAUAGAUUUUGAGUCAAAGGCCUUUAGAUACAUUGCUAUACCCUGGGGAAGAAUACAUGUGUUCAGGAGUCAAAGGUAAAAAACAUCAGCUUUGUUGCUGUUUUGGGUUUUUGUUGUUGUUUUGUUUUUUGAAUUUGUGCCUUCUGUAGCUGUAAUGCUGGGUUCUGCAGGUUCAGAGGUCCUGAUCCCCAAAAGGGAAACACUUCCAACAGGGCACACGGCAAGUUGCUACUGUAUCCCAGUUCCUUUGGGCAAGAAGGGAAUUGUAAUAGUUUCCUAAGGCAACCAUAACACAUAAUUACUACCAACUGGUCAUCUAAAACAACAGAAAUUUAGUUUCCCACAUUUGUGGGGCCUAGAAGUCGGAAAUCAAGGUACUGGCAGGGCCUUGCUCUCUCUGAAGGCUCUAGGGAAGAAUCUGUUCUUGCUCCUUCCCAGCUUCAAUGGCUCCACACAAUCCCUGGUACUCCUGGGCUUCCAUCUGCAUCUCUCCAGCCUCGCUUCAUUUUCAUAUGGCCUCCAUCCGCAUCCUUGCAUGUGUUUGUGUGUUGUCUCCUUUUCUUAUGAGGACACCAUCAUCUGGUAGGACCUUAUCCUAACUUCCUCACUUAUAUCUGCACAGAUCUUAUUUCCAAAUAAAGUCACUUUCUGAGGCUCCAGGUGGACAUGAAUUUGGGGGACUGUGAUGAAUAAUUUUAUGUAUUAAUUUGACUGGCCAGGGGAUGCCCAGAUUAAACAUUUUUUCUAGGUGUGGUUAAUGAUCAGACAUUAUUUCUAGGUAAAUUCCCCAGACUGGAAUUUACACCAUGCACUCUCAUUGAAUUACACCACCAGCUUUCCUGGGCCUACAGGUUGCGGACAGCAGGUCAUGGGACAUCUCAGCCUCCAUAAUCAUGAGUGGGAAGAAAAUGAAAAAACAAUUGUUCUCCUUGGUGUGUUGGAUCUUGGGCGGAUAAAGGAACUUCAACUCCUUUGGUGAGAUGGUAGCAGCAGAGAGGUCAGAGAGACCUUGAGGCUUUGUCUUCAGUUGAGCAUGUCAAAACACCAUAUUUUGAUGUUUCUGAGUCCCAACAUGGGAAGUAAGAAGUGUGUUCUACAUUUAGAAUAGAGAAAAAUGUAAUAAAAUUUAAGAAGUACCUACAUA